rnacentral:rRNA from 1 species
GACGAACGCUGGCGGCGUGCUUAACACAUGCAAGUCGAACGGAAAGGCCCUGCUUUUGUGGGGUGCUCGAGUGGCGAACGGGUGAGUAACACGUGAGUAACCUGCCCUUGACUUUGGGAUAACUUCAGGAAACUGGGGCUAAUACCGGAUAGGAGCUCCUGCUGCAUGGUGGGGGUGGGAAAGUUUGGGCGGUUGGGGAUGGACUGGCGGCUUAUCAGCUGGUUGGUGGGGUAGUGGCUUACCAAGGCUUUGACGGGUAGCCGGCCUGAGAGGGUGACCGGCCACAUUGGGACUGAGAUACGGCCCAGACUCCUACGGGAGGCAGCAGUGGGGAAUAUUGCACAAUGGGCGGAAGCCUGAUGCAGCAACGCCGCGUGCGGGAUGACGGCCUUCGGGUUGUAAACCGCUUUCGCCUGUGACGAAGCGUGAGUGACGGUAAUGGGUAAAGAAGCACCGGCUAACUACGUG